rnacentral:rRNA from 1 species
UCGGAAGCGUUGGCGUGGCGAGUGCCGCCGAACUCACGGGAACCCACGAUAGGGGACCCGCGGCAAAAGUCCGCCGACAGGACCGACGCAUUUCCCCCCGCACGGCGGACGCCGCAACCGGUUCGGUAGAGGCGAGAGUCGGCCAGGAGGUCGGGCAUUCGGCAGUUGGCCGGGGCGACUCGGGCGUUCGCGCCCCCGUCCGCACCCGGUUGUUAGCCGGUCCCGUCCGUGGCGCGACACCGGACCGAGGGCAGUUCCCUACCGGGGACGCACCUCCACGACGCCCCCUGAGUACACAGCGUGAUUUCUCGGCAGGCGCUCCGCUGCGCCACACAUGCCGUGUCACCCCCGAGCGGUGACCGGCGCGCAGCGGUCGCCCGACGGCCGGCGAACUCUCACGUUGGGGCGCCCGAGGUUGGCGGCGAGUAGGUCGGUUACCCACCCGACCCGUCUUGAAACACGGACCAAGGAGUCUAACAUGUGCGCGAGUCACGGGGACUUGAAUAGGCCCGGAGGCGCAAUGAAAGUGAGAAAGGACCGCACGGUCCGAGUCGGGACCCCCGAGAGCAGGGGAGCACCGACGACCCGCCCCGCACGCCGGUAUCCCACCGGCGGGGCGGAGUCUGAGCGUACACGUUGGGACCCGAAAGAUGGUGAACUAUGCCUGGGCAGGACGAAGCCAGAGGAAACUCUGGUGGAGGUCCGAGCGGU